CACGUAGGGCGCAAGCGUUGUCCGGAAUUAUUGGGCGUAAAGAGCUCGUAGGCGGUCUGUUGCGUCCGCUGUGAAAACUCGGGGCUUAACCCCGAGCCUGCAGUGGAUACGGGCAGACUAGAGGUAUGCAGGGGAGAACGGAAUUCCUGGUGUAGCGGUGGAAUGCGCAGAUAUCAGGAGGAACACCGGUGGCGAAGGCGGUUCUCUGGGCAUUACCUGACGCUGAGGAGCGAAAGUGUGGGGAGCGAACAGG
rnacentral:rRNA from 1 species